GCUCACUGCAACCUCUGCCUCCCCGGUUCAAGCAAAUCUUCUGCCUCGGCCACCCAAGUGGCUGGGAUUACAGGUACCCGCUACCACAUCCAGCUAAUUUUUUGUAUCUUUAGUAGAGACGGGGUUUCUCCAUGUUGGUCAGGCUGGUCUCAAACUCCUGACCUCAGGUGAUCCACCCACCUUGGCCUCCCAAAGUACUGGGAUUAGAGGUGUGAGCCACUGCACCGGGCUCGGGCCUUUUUUUUUUUUUUUAAGAGAGAGUUUGCUCUGUCACCCAGGCUGGAGUGCAGGUGGCAUGAUCUCGGCUCACUGCAGCCUCCACCUCCCGGGUUCAAGCAAUUUUCCCACCUCAGCCUCCCAAGUAGCUGGGAUUACAGGCACCCGCCACCAUGCCUGACUAAUUUUUGUAUUUUUAGUAGAUACAGGGUUUCACCAUGUUGGCCAGGCUGAUCUCGAACUCCUGAUCCCAGGUGAUCCACCCGCCCCGGCUUCCCAAAGUACUGGGAUUACAGGUGUGAGCCACCGCGCCCGGCCGAGACUCUUUUGAUGUCAGAAAAAAUGCCGAAUGCCAGAAUCUGGGCUCCUGGUGUGUGGGCGGCUCCACAUCGGGCUUUGGCACGCACCGUCUGUACGAGAGGCCAGCUUCCAGCGUGGCUGAGGUCCCAGGUCCCUCCGUGCCCAGCAAUGCCUGUGUCCCAGACAGCACAGGUUGCUGCCUCCUUCUCACCAGCAGGACCUGCUGAGCAUCUGAGCUGCCUGGGGUGUCACAGGAUAUCUUGACUGGGGGGCAGCAACCAUCCCCCAACCACAAGGACAGAAGCCAAAAACCACCAAGAGACAGAACCCUUAUCUGAGAUGAUGUCACAGGUGGCUGCAUUCACCUUGGACUUCUACCCUCUUUCGCUGCACUGCAGUAGGACAAACCCGUGCGCUGGGAAGUUUCCUGUCAUUUGUAGCUGGACGGUUAUAGAAGCAGCUGAUCCAGCUGGCAUAUCUCUGCGAGGGUUGUAGCGGAAAUCAUAUGGGUUUCUACCCAUCCCAUAUUGGUGGUCUUUAUUUCUUUGUGUCUUUUAUUAAUAUUAUGAUAUCUGUUUCUUUUUUUGCUAGCAUUUGUCUGUUUUAUUGAAGGAUAAUAAACAUAUAUCAAAGUACACCUAUUUUCUUUUUUUUUUUUUUUUUUUUUUUUGAGACGGAGUCUCACUGUGUCGCCCAGGCUGGAGUGCAGUGGCCGGAUCUCAGCUCACUGCAAGCUCUGCCUCCCGGGUUUUUACGCCAUUCUCCUGCCUCAGCCUCCCAAGUAGCUGGGACUACAGGCGCCACCACCUCGCCCGGCUAGUUUUUGUAUUUUUAGUAGAGACGG
rnacentral:lncRNA from 1 species